rnacentral:rRNA from 1 species
GAUGAACGCUGGCGGCGUGCCUAAUACAUGCAAGUCGAGCGAACAGACGAGGAGCUUGCUCCUCUGACGUUAGCGGCGGACGGGUGAGUAACACGUGGAUAACCUACCUAUAAGACUGGGAUAACUUCGGGAAACCGGAGCUAAUACCGGAUAAUAUAUUGAACCGCAUGGUUCAAUAGUGAAAGACGGUUUUGCUGUCACUUAUAGAUGGAUCCGCGCCGCAUUAGCUAGUUGGUAAGGUAACGGCUUACCAAGGCGACGAUGCGUAGCCGACCUGAGAGGGUGAUCGGCCACACUGGAACUGAGACACGGUCCAGACUCCUACGGGAGGCAGCAGUAGGGAAUCUUCCGCAAUGGGCGAAAGCCUGACGGAGCAACGCCGCGUGAGUGAUGAAGGUCUUCGGAACGUAAAACUCUGUUAUUAGGGAAGAACAAAUGUGUAAGUAACUAUGCACGUCUUGACGGUACCUAAUCAGAAAGCCACGGCUAACUACGUG